CCUACGGGAGGCAGCAGUGGGGAAUAUUGGACAAUGGGGGGAACCCUGAUCCAGCCAUGCCGCGUGUGUGAAGAAGGCCCUCGGGUUGUAAAGCACUUUCAGUGAGGAAGAACGCCUGGUGGUUAAUACCCAUCAGGAAAGACAUCACUCACAGAAGAAGCUCCGGCUAACUCCGUGCCAGCAGCCGCGGUAAUACGGAGGGUGCGAGCGUUAAUCGGAAUUACUGGGCGUAAAGCGCGCGUAGGUGGCUUGAUAAGCCGGUUGUGAAAGCCCCGGGCUCAACCUGGGAACGGCAUCCGGAACUGUCAAGCUAGAGUGCAGGAGAGGAAGGUAGAAUUCCCGGUGUAGCGGUGAAAUGCGUAGAGAUCGGGAGGAAUACCAGUGGCGAAGGCGGCCUUCUGGACUGACACUGACACUGAGGUGCGAAAGCGUGGGUAGCAAACAGGAUUAGAUACCCGGGUAGUC
rnacentral:rRNA from 1 species